rnacentral:pre_miRNA from 1 species
UGUAUUGGGUCGGCCAAAAAGUUUAUUCAGAUUUUUCCGUAAGAUGUUAUGGAAAAAUCUGAAUGAACUUUUUGACCAACCCAGUAUA